rnacentral:rRNA from 1 species
CUGAACCAGCCAAGUAGCGUGAAGGAUGACUGCCCUAUGGGUUGUGAACUUCUUUUAUAAAGGAAUAAAGUCGGGUACGUAUACCCGUUUGCAUGUACUUUAUGAAUAAGGAUCGGCUAACUCCGUGCCAGCAGCCGCGGUAAUACGGAGGAUCCGAGCGUUAUCCGGGUUUAUUGGGUUUAAAGGGAGCGUAGAUGGAUGUUUAAGUCAGUUGUGAAAGUUUGCGG